UGCUUAUUGGCAAUUUGAUUGAUAGACAGUAGCAGGUAACUAGAGAGCAGCAAUGCACUCGAUCUCGAUUCUGGCGUUCAGCGGCAGAGCUGCUACUUGGUAAGUUGAGCGUGCUGGUGCAGGAGCUGGAAAAUCUGCAAGUAAGAAUUGCAAAAUUCUUCAGAAGCAAAAUAUAGAGAUCACGGCAACAUGAUUGUUGUCUUGACAACUGAAGAGUAGCUAGCACCACUUGCUUUCAAUAUUUCACCCAUAUUCUUCAUAACCUUUUGCUCCUCCACGCUUUCAGAUACAAACUUUCCAGUCUGGAGACAGAAGCCAAGAACUCCAGAGACAAAGACCAUAUUGUUGGCUUUGAUGGCCUGAGAAUACGGGCCUAAUGCUGCCGGGGCCUUCUCUGUCUGAACAGCCUCCUUU
rnacentral:sRNA from 1 species